UUGAUUACUAUCAUUUUGGUUAAUGAUUUUGUACUAAUUUUGUUGUUAGAAUUGUAGACUCCUCAUUUUUUUCGUUUUCGUUUUGCUGUAAUCUUGUUGUUGGUUUGUCUAAUUUUAGUUUGAUAACUUGAGGGGUGAAAUCAUGACCCUUGAUAGGAGUGCGUAGAGCAUUCAUGGGAGGGUGUAAGAGGUCCAAGGACAUGAUAGAAGGUAUCUGAAACUUGAUUAUCAAAAGAAGUCACUGUCCAUCGUCUAGGACGUUAGGUAAUUCAAUAUGAUCGAGCUGAGGUUCAAGCAGCUAUAUAUGAGCAAUUAACCAACAUCCAAAUGCUGAUCAUCAUUCACCACCACCACGUCUACCUUUUGAUACUCCAGUUAUGAUCCUGAACUACUUGGAAGGUUAAAUAGGCAGGCAACUCUCCUUCAAAAUGCUCAGGCCUACGUCAGACUGGAGGAUCCCAAAUUAUGUGGAUGAAACUAAGCAGGGCCUAAAUUUUUUGACUCGUGGAAGGAAAAUGCAUGAUGUUGUUUUAAGUUUAGGAUUUCCAUGUUUGUUAACACGUUCUUUGGCAGUGACACUUCUAUUUGGUCAAGUAAUUUCUCUUAUUCCUA